rnacentral:rRNA from 1 species
UACGAAGGGGGCUAGCGUUGUUCGGAAUUACUGGGCGUAAAGCGCACGUAGGCGGAUAUUUAAGUCAGGGGUGAAAUCCCAGAGCUCAACUCUGGAACUGCCUUUGAUACUGGGUAUCUUGAGUAUGGAAGAGGUAAGUGGAAUUGCGAGUGUAGAGGUGAAAUUCGUAGAUAUUCGCAGGAACACCAGUGGCGAAGGCGGCUUAC